CAGAAAAUAGUUUAAAAAAAAUACUGGUUUUGGGUAUCAAUGAUCUUACUAUUAAGUUUUCUGA
rnacentral:tRNA from 1 species